UUAAUUUUUUAGCACCAACAUUUUUAAUUAUAUUUUUCUCUCUUUUUCCUAGUGUUUUUUUCACUCAACUCUCCCUUUCUCUCUCAAAUCCCUCGCCUUUCUCUAAAUCCUUAGGGUUCCUUAAUACAUUUGCUCUCUCACAACUCCAUAACAAAGAUAGGUUUCUCAUUUCAAGGAAAUGGGAUUCCAGGAAUGGUCAUGAGAUGGCCACAUAGGGACCAAAGCCAGGCAAAUCCUUAUCCUAUUGUUUAAGUCUAUCUGUAUGCACCAUCAAGUCUAUCCAUAUAUUGCCUUCACACCAGUCCAGCCAUUUGGAGCCAUUAUUUCUUCUCCUCUGUUACUUCCUUCAACAUUUCCAUUAGAUGGAAAUUGGUGCUCUAAGGAAAAUGGGUCAAAGCUUUAAUAGGUUUGAAGUAGCCAGAGAAAGAAAAAAAAUGAGGUGUGCUGGUAAAAAGCAAGAAACGGGGACUACGUAGAAGUUCUUGUAAUGGGAGUACGGGGUGAUGAUGUGAGCAUUAAGGCUGAAAUUUAUCAUGGACAAACGAAAUAAUAUAGCUCAUGUUGAGUCCCACAGGAAUAGAUAUGUCGGACAUAUUGGACAAGUAUUACUCUAUGGUGUCCCAAAAGUCUAGAAUGCUACUACCACGAAAGUGGGCGUUGUGGGAGAGACGGUGUGUCAUCUCUCUAUUGGAUUUAUUACACAAGAAGUAAUUUUGCAAAAGAUGACUAAUAUGGAUGAAUCAUAAACAAUAUGUAUUCUUUUCUCUUAGGGAAUAGUUUAUUUGCUUCAUAAUAACAUGACGUUAUUCAUGCUUACAGUUAGGAGCUGAUGAUUUGAAUUCUUAGCCUUAUCUCAUGCAUACUUGUGGUUAUUUCUUCUUGAUAGUGGUUGGUUAGUCUUUGUGGACAUAUUAUUGUGUUACAUUUGCUAAUUUUUCUUUCUCUUAUGGUUUGCACAUAAUAAGUUUGUUAGAAUGCUUCAAAGAGAUUAGUAUGAAUAAUUGUUUGAAUUUUGUGUGAUAGCUUUGUGUUUCGAUUUGAUUAAAGAAUAUAAUUUCUUAUGAAAUCUGAAUUUGUUAUUAAAUUUAGAAAGCUUAAUAAUAUUUCAAGUCAAAAGUGUAGGGAGAGUGACACCCAAGAGAGUAUUAUAUAGUUUUGGUACUAUUGAAUCAUUAUUAUUGUUUUGGUAGGCUUUGAUUCAUGAAGAGCAAAACAAGCAAAACUAGCAAUAUGUGGAGAUAGAGUUGGAAAUGGAAAAUAGAAAAGAAAAUGUGGACAACGCUAGGGUAGGCGCACAUUGAGUAUUAGCUAGCUAGUAAACUUAUUGAAAUCUAAUAAAAUAUGUAAUCUAUUGAUCAUGAAAGAGGAAAGGUAAUUCUUAAUUUUGUUAGCACCAUUGUUGAUAUAUAUAAUAUUGAAUGUAGAUUGUUUGGAAAGCUGCAAUGUUCAAUGCCACUUCUUGCUUUACUAUUAUAUCUCUACAUCCAAAACUAUUAAUAAUGGAACAUCCCAAUUACUUUUAGUUAAAUAUACAAAUGAUCAAAAAAGUAAAAGGACUUACAUAAGAUUUUCAUUUUAAGCCCUUUUAUUGUCAAAUCACGAAACAAAGCCCAAAAGGAAGAAUUAAUUUAUGGUUAUGAUUACUUCUUGGGUGAGAAUCUUUAUCAUGUAGUUAUACCUUAAUGUGACUAGCUGUAACACCCUAGUUACUCCAAGACCAUUACUGUGAACUUUAAAUCGUGCUUAACUCGCUAAACCAGUCAGUUGGUUAUAAACGUGCAUCUAGGUGUUAUUAAUAGGCUGAGGUGAAAAAAAAUCUCGAUCAAAAGGAAAUUAUAUAUUUUAUUUAAAGCAUAAAAUUGUACAGGGGCCCAUAAAAUCAUUUACAAGUUAUUUACAAUCCCAAAAUGGUCAUUACAGUGUAAAAAUUACAACCCACCGACCUAAGCGGCAAAAAUAGGGUUAACCCCUAGUUCCUUUGAGAAACACCUUGGCCAUGGUGGUCAAGCGGCCACAUAUGUACACAUCACCACCUAAACUCUCCACUCAAGGCUGAGUGAGCUUUUCAUUACCUUUAAUUGCACCACAUAGCACCCGUGAGCCAAGGAUCAGCAAGAAAACUCAUUACUGUAUGUAUACAAUAUCAAAUGAAGAUUAUGAUAAUCAUACAGGGCUUAUAGCCCUAAAUAGAUAAGUGAAUAUCACUUCAAGAUUAUAGUAACCAUGUUGGGGCUUGUAGCCCUAAUAAGAUAAUAUUAAGAUUCUAAUAAUCAUGUUGGGGCGUGUAGCCUUAAUCAGAUAAGUGACUGAUGAGUAAGUCAUGAACUUGAAUCAGAUAAGUGACUGAUGAGUAAGUCACGAACUUGGACUCCACACUCAUAGCCGUGUGACGAUGUAGUCAACUGGGCCUUCUUGCCUCGGCUCUAAGUAACUAGCCUUUAGACUAGACAAUCGCUUUUGUUUUCAUCGAACUUAAGGUCGGUCAAGCAGUUCAUGCUUGUGACAAUAACGCUUAUGUCAAUUAGAUCUAAUCUUUUCGGCUUGCAUUAAACACGCUAAUACUGUUCAUGAUUCAUAAGCCAAUACCAUACGACCAGUGCCCAGUACUACUGCCGAACUUGACUAAUGAGUCACAACUUCACAGUCAAUAUUGACUCCUUUGUCAAUUCCUGACUCAUAGGUCAGUGCCAUACACAGAUAAGAAAAAUGGCUAAGCAUUUGAUAUGGAAUCAAUGUCCACAUAUAUAACACUCAACAUGCCUCAUUAAUAACCAUGCUUGUCACAUAUUGGGUGCAGUUUUCUUACCUCUGGUUCGAGUGUGGAAUAAUAAAAGAACGACCCUUGAGAACGAUCAGUCCUUUGAUUCCUUAGCGGUCACCUAGUCAUAACCAAACAUAAUUCCCAUCAAUGAAAAUGAGCAACAAAAGGUUCUUGGACCAAAACCUAACCUCCGGGACAUCGAAUCCUACUAAACCGGGUCGUAGGAAUGAUCCCGAGGCCUAAGGUUUGGAUUCCCACGUUGAAAACACAAUUCUGGCCAAAAUGCCACUAAGGGUCGCGACCCUACUCCACCAUGCCACGGCCCGCCUCCCGGACAGAGGCGCCAGCCUCCCUGCCAUCAGCAUGCAUCGCGGCCAGCCUUCCCCCAUGUCGCAGCUCUACGACCCUUCAAAACCACCCUUCAUCUUCAUCAAGCUUGGGCCAUGGCGCUCUAGAAUAGAGUCGCUACCCCACCUGAAACCCAGCCAAAAACCCCCCGUUUUUUCUCUUCGAACUCAUUUCAAAUACCUACUAAAACACUUCCAAUUCCACAAAGCAAAGUUCACAAUUAUUACCACAACUUAUCCAUCAUAUACCCAACAAAACCUAAGCUUUAAACCAUUCAAAACCUCAUCAAAUUCCCAUUCCUAUGAUCAAAACUCCAAUCUCAAAACUAACACAAAAAUAGAGCAAAGAACCAGAAAAUCGAACUAAAACUUUACCUUAAACUCAAAUUGAAUCCUCUUCAAUGGCUGAACACUAGCCUAGGACCUCAAGCUUCAAUCUCCAAGUUUGAAUCCUCAAAAUUGCUUCAAAAUUUCAAAAGAAGGAGAAGGAUAAUGAUGAUCGUGAGAGAGGAAGGAAAAGGGCUCUGUUUUGCUUAAGCUUUCUACGCCCUUCCCUAGUUAAGUAUGACCCUUGGUCAAAAGACCAAAAUGCCCCCAAGCCUAUUUCACUUCUUAACAGCCCCCAAGGGUAAAACUGUCAUUUCUCCUCUAAUCCCGUUAAUCACAAUUCAUUAUUCUCAAUAUUCUCAAAUACUUAUAAAUCAUAUCCCAUUACCCUUUAACUCCCGGUAAUGCACUAAUCAUCAAAUUACCCCGAGACUCACCUCGAGCCCCGAAAUUAACCACGUUAUGACCAAACCGCUAUCUUCCAUUCAAAUAUCAUCUCAUCAUGAAUAGCUCGAAAAAAAUCCACAUUAUAAUGUGGCCUCAUCAAUAAUCACCAACAUGCAUGAAAGUGUACAAAUAUGCCUCAACGGGCCAAAUUACCAGAAUACUCUUAUAAUGAAAAGUGGACCCACAUGCAUGUAUUUAUCAUCAUAUAAUAAUAUAAUUCACAUAAUCAUGCAUAUAAUCAUUUAAUGGUAUAAUAAAUUUAUUAUGGCCCUCCCGGCCUAUUAAUCCAACCAUAAACAUCAAUAGGAAUUUUGUUGCAUUACACUAUCUAUAUAUCUAUAUAUUACUCUAGUUCUUCAAAAAUAGUGUUGAUCUCUUAUAAUAUUGUCAAUUACAAUAUUAUUAUUCCUUAUAAGAUUGUGUUGUGUAAGUGUGAUGACUACCUAUUUAGAUUUUAUUUUACAUCUCUUUAUUUUUGGUAAUAUAUUAGAUACACCAAGGAGUUUAUUAUUUAGUUCAAGUAUUGAACCAUCAUUUGUUUUGUUUGCCGAACAUAGAACCGUAUUGUGCCCAAAAAUAUGUAUAAUAUGUCUAGAUAGAGUACAUAUAUAUAUUAUUAUUGUGAUUUAUGAGUAAUUCUUUAUAUGUAAUUGGAAAUUGGUACAAGGAAAGAAAAGAUUAAGGUGAGCUUUCACACAUAUUUUUAUAAGGGAAAUUUGCGGCUAAAAUACCCAAACUUUUAAGUUACUAAUACUUAAAUACCCAAACUAAUUUUUUGGUGGAAAAAAUACCCAACCGUUAACUUUUCUGGCAUUCCGUUAGUACCCAUAGUUAAAGUUUAGUUUUGACAUAUAAAAGGACAAAUGACACUCCAAGAUUACUCCACAUGUAAAUUAAAUAAAACAAAUAAAUCAUUUUAAAACCAUCUGAAAAGAUUUAAAAAUAUAACUAAGGUAAUUAUAUUAUAUUAUUAUUAAAACAUUUAAAAUAAAAAAACUGAAAAAGUAAAAGAAAAAGAAAACGAUUAUCAGAGAGAGGGAGAGAAGACGAAGAACAGAGAGGGAGAGAAGACGAGAAGACGAAGAACAGAGAGGGAGUUCUGAUGGGUUUUCAUGUUGAAUUAUUGGCACUGGCACUUCAUUACAUUUGGGUUUAAUGGUUUUAUGGUGACUGAAACUUCAUUAUUGGCAGGCAUAACAAAAUGGUAUUUCGUUUUGGAGAUUGGUCUUUGUGUUUAGCAAUAUUAGUACUAGUAUUGAGCAGCAUAUCAAGUUCAAAUUCUCUGAGGAUCAAAAAACAAAUUAAGACCAAAUCCGCUGUAUUUCUAUCCCCUGAGUUUGAGUUGGGACCAGGAUCAGUGGUCAAUAGAUUUUACUAUGACAUUGACUUUCCAAGAGGUCAUAUUGCUGUGAAGAUUUUUAAUGCAUAAGUUGUUGAUGAAGUAGGGAACCCUAUCCCUCUUCAUGAAACUUAUCUUCACCAUUGGGUUGUUUUCAGAUACUGAAAUAAGUGAUGAGUCUAACAAAAAUAAAAGACCAAGUCAAUAAGUGUGGAUUUUCAUCUAUCAAGAGGUAUAGCAGAGGUGAAUGAAGGAAAAUAUGCUCGUGCUAUAUCUAUCUUUGAUCAGGUAAUAGUUCAGGGCCUCAAGUCAUCUAUGUCUUUCAAGAGAAAUUCACUAUAAAGAACUUCCGUUACUCUUCUUUUUAUUACUUGUACUUUAUUUUUUCUUCUUCCUGAGUUUGUUGGUUGGGAGCAAUGGCUCAGAAUGUUAAUGUGAUAAGCCUGUAACUAAGCUAUACACAUUUAACUUUACAACUAUGAUAUUCACAGCUAUUGAAAGAGGAUCCUAACUAUCCCGAGGCUCUAAUAGGAAUGUGAAGGUGAAUCUAAAUUAGUAGUGGAUUCUUCUAUUGCAAGUAUAGGCCAUAAAUUCUGUAAAAUUUUGUUCUACGUUGCAAUCUGUUUCCAUGAAAAGUUACAAGAUAUUUAUGUUGAAACAGAAUGAAUUCAUUAAGUAAUAUAAUCUUUCUGACCCCAUAAUGUGCUGAUCUAAUUCUUUGGAAUGAAACAUUAAGAAAAACUUUAGUACAUUGCACUACCAGGUACUUAAUAUAUCUGUGCAUAUGACACUACACAAAUACAUAAUAAUUGUGCCUCCUCUACUCUGAAUUCCUGGCUAGUCGACGUUUAUUUGCCGGUGUCUCAAGGUCUUCGUCGGCGUCUCUGGUGGGUGGUGUUCGUGUCACCGUCUCUGGUGGGUCUUCAUCGGCAUCUCAGAUGAGUCUUCGUCGGCAUCUCAAGGGGUUCUUCGUUGGGGUUCAAAAUAGUUUUUUGGGUAAUCUGUUCUUCGUCUUUCUCUCUUCUCUCCUCUCUGUUCUUCGUCUUCUCGUCUUCUCUCCCUCUCUCUGAUAAUCGUUUCCUUUUUCUUUUACUUUUUCAGUUUUUUUAUUUUAAAUAUUUUAAUAAUAAUAUAAUAUAAUUACCUUAGUUAUAUUUUUAAAUCUUUUCAGAUGGUUUUAAAAUGAUUUAUUUGUUUUAUUUAAUUUACAUGUGGAGUAAUCUUGGAGUGCCAUUUGUCCUCUUAUAUGUCAAAAUUAAACUCUAACUAUGGGUACUAACGGAAUGCCAGAAAAGUUAACGGUUGGGUAUUUUUGCCACCAAAAAAUUAGUUUGGGUAUUUAAGUGUUAGUAACUUGAAAGUUUGGGUAUUUUAGCCGCAAAUUUCCUUUUU